GAAUGAGCCAAUGAAUGCGUCCACAUGUCUCACUCAUUCAGUGAAUCGAAUUCUCUUCCAGCAGAUCGGGCUUUACAGCAGCGAGCACCCCAAUCAAGAGUGCCUCUCCAGGGCUGGAGCACUGAUCAGAGUCCCUGAUUCCCUGAGGAAGCCGCAGCAACUGAGGACUAAAGGAGGUGGAGGAAAGGGGAGGAGGAACACCAGUUAACAGAUUAAAACCCUCUCUGUCUCUCUUCCAACUGAGGAGAGACAACUCUAGGCACUGCAUGCAGUAAUAUCAUUGUUUCUGUGUAAUUUGCUCCUCUCAAUUACUUUUUCUUCCUCCCCUUUUCUACACUGCUGCUCUGGAGGAAAAAACCAAGCAGGAUACAGGAGGACUUGUGCAUCUCUUUCGUGCUUCUCUCUCUUUCUUUCUUUCUUUCUCUCUCUGUCAGCCCCUCUUUCUUUAAAUGUAAAGUGAAAGGUGAGAUUAGGGGGGAGUGAUUUAGGGAGCAGGGAUAAACGCUGUGGGCAGCUGGAGAGAUGGGCAAAUCCAACAGCAAACUAAAGCCUGAGGUUGUGGAAGAGCUAUGCAGAAAGACCUACUUUACAGAGAAGGAAGUUCAGCAGUGGUAUAAGGGUUUUAUUAAAGACUGCCCCAGUGGUCAGUUGGACGCAGCUGGUUUUCAGAAGAUCUACAAGCAAUUCUUCCCCUUUGGUGAUCCCACCAAGUUUGCCACCUUUGUCUUCAAUGUCUUUGACGAGAACAAGGAUGGACGCAUCGAGUUCUCAGAGUUCAUUCAAGCACUGUCUGUCACAUCCAGAGGAACACUGGAUGAGAAACUCAGAUGGGCCUUUAAACUUUACGAUCUUGAUAAUGAUGGCUACAUAACCCGAGAUGAGAUGCUGAACAUUGUGGAUGCCAUCUACCAGAUGGUGGGGAACACAGUAGAGUUACCUGAGGAGGAAAACACACCAGAGAAAAGAGUUGACCGCAUCUUUGCUAUGAUGGAUAAGAAUGCUGAUGGGAUGUUGACCCUGCAGGAGUUUCAGGAGGGCUCCAAGGCAGACCCAUCUAUUGUACAGGCGCUCUCCCUAUAUGAUGGCCUGGUGUAGGCCCAUCUCAAAGUGGCAUUCAGUGAGUCCAGUUUCCCUCUUACUCAAAUGCUAAUAACAGCAAUGUGACAGUAUGCUGCUGUAGCUCAGAGGAGGGCGGGACCGGGCCGGAAUGACACAUGCCCGGACCCCAAUCAGCCUGAUGAGGCAAGCGAGGUAUAAAGGUGACCGGAGACGGCAGUUCGGGAGAGAGAGUGAACUAUGGGCAGCUGCCCUGUAUGUGUUUAUGUUUGUGUGUUUUUAAGUUUAUUAUUAAACUAUUAUUUAUAUUGUUAAGCCGGUUCUCGCCUCCUCCUUUCCAUUGAACUUCGUUACAGCUGACAACAAUGAAGUUUCUAAAUAUGCACACCUAUACAGUUCUUAAUCUUCAGUGUAAAUUGAACAACGACGAUGCAGUAAGAGGUAAGACUUUACAAUAAGGUUCUGUUUGUUAACAUUAGCAAAUGCAUUAAGUAUAAUGAACUAACAAUAAACCAUUUUUUAAAGCUUUUAUUAAUCUUUGUUAAUGUUAAUUUAAAAAAUGCAAUUGUUCAUUUUUAGUUCUUGUUAGUUCAAAAUGCAUUAACUAAUGCCAACAUAACCAAGAUUUUUUUUUUCAACAACUGCAAUUCUGACAUGUUCACAGUUCUAUACACAAAAAGUUGAUAUCAAGUAACUUCCAUUUUAGACACAAUAUGGCUAGUUGUUUUGUCCAAUUUGUGCUCUGCGAAUAAAAAUAGUUCAUAAUGCACCCAAAGCAGUAUCAACAGGAUCAACUGACAGCCUGUCUGGAACAGAAUGGACAAGUGGAGUGAUACAAAUAAUAAUCACUACAACCCAUUUAUGUCAUUCUGCCGGCACCGUGAGAGGAAAGCUGACCUGUCACGAAGAAUCCUGCAAUCUUGUGGACCUACCACCACAGAGGUGCAUUGUGGGUGCUAUUCUGAGAAGGGAGUCAGCUGUCAAUCACUCAUCUCCACUGUCACUGGAAAACAAAAAUCAGAUCAAGACAAUGUAAACUCUUGUGAAACUCAUCUGAAAUAAGUUAUGUAAAGACCCUAAUAAUGUCUGAUGUGUUCAGUGCUCUUUUUGGAAAAGGAAAAGAGACACUCAUAAAGACAGUGACUAAAAAAUUGUUGACGGCAUAAAAACAGUGUUAUUCAAUGUAGAAAUUAAAUAUUCUAAACAUCAGUGAACUUAAAUUUGUUAUAAUGCUGUGGUCUUUGUCAGAAGUGACAGGAUUGACCAAGCUGGAUUGUGGUCUAGCUUUCACUACAAGGUGAACAAAGAGGAAGUGCUGUACCAUGGAGCUUCAGCAAGCACAGGCAUUGAAUAACUUGAUACUAUAUCUGGUUGCAUAUUUAUAAUACCAUUCUAUGUAAAUCAACAAACUUCAACAGAAAAAAAAAAAAAAAAAAAAAAAACAA